CCAUUGUCCUGGUUCGAAUAGCAGCCACACUUUCUGCUCCUCGCGCUCCUUUCCACUGCUGUUUAGCAAGUGUACACCGGCAAUAGGCAUCCUCUUCCUGACCUUAAUGGAGGCUGACUCUAUUGCAAACAUGGAGAACCCAAGAUGGCCCUGUCUGCAGAGAGUCAUGUGGUAUAUAGAUCCAGAGCAAGCAUGGAGCAUCCCCAUUGGGCAUAUUACUUUAGCUGCCUACUACGUAGCAAGUUAUUCCAAACUUAGUGGUUUAGGUAAAUAUAAGUUUCUUUUGAGUCAGGA